UACGAAGGGGGCUAGCGUUGCUCGGAAUCGACUGGGCGUAAAGGGUGCGUAGGCGGGUCUUUAAGUCAGGGGUGAAUACCUGGAGCUCAACUCCCAGAACUGCCUUUGAUACUGAGGAUCUUGAGUUCGGGAGAGGUGGAGUGGAAAUGCGAGUGUAGAGGUGAAAAUUCGUAGAUAUUCGCAAGAACACCAGUGGCGAAGG
rnacentral:rRNA from 1 species